rnacentral:rRNA from 1 species
UGGGGAAUAUUGCACAAUGGGCGCAAGCCUGAUGCAGCCAUGCCGCGUGUGUGAAGAAGGCCUUCGGGUUGUAAAGCACUUUCAGCGAGGAGGAAGGUGGUGAGCUUAAUACGCUCAUCAAUUGACGUUACUCGCAGAAGAAGCACCGGCUAACUCCGUGCCAGCAGCCGCGGUAAUACGGAGGGUGCAAGCGUUAAUCGGAAUUACUGGGCGUAAAGCGCACGCAGGCGGUUUGUUAAGUCAGAUGUGAAAAUCCCCCGGGCUCAACCUGGGAACUGCAUUUGAAACUGGCAAGCUAGAGUCUCGUAGAGGGGGGUAGAAUUCCAGGUGUAGCGGUGAAAUGCGUAGAGAUCUGGAGGAAUACCGGUGGCGAAGGCGGCCCCCUGGACGAAGACUGACGCUCAGGUGCCGAAAGCGUGGGGAGCAAAACAGGAUUAGAUACCCUGGUAGUCCACGCUGUAAAACGAUGUCGAUUUGGAGGUUGUGCCCUUGAGGCGUGGCUUCCGGAGCUAACGCGUUAAAUCGACCGCCUGGGGAGUACGGCCGCAAGGUUAAAACUCAAAUGAAUUGACGGGGUCAUAGC